rnacentral:lncRNA from 1 species
AUCUUGGCUUACUUUGCCUCCUGGGCCUCUGUUUCCUCCUUGUACUGAGAUGAUCUCUAAGUGCAGUCAGAUGUGAUUGCUCUGUGAAUCUAGAAGGAGGCAGCUCUGGUCCAAGUUGAGAACUGGCAGUCUGCCUUUCCUGUCACUAGUUAUGUGGUACCCUGACUCACAGGCCAGAAACCAAGGCCCUGAAAAAUGCUUUGAGGAGAUGGGAAGUUCUCAAAAGGACCCUCAACUCCUCACUGGAAGAUGCCUUUUUCCUGUCCAACCGGAAGGACGUGACAGGAGUGAUGCUCCGUCACCUGCGGCUCCACUCACCUGCUGAAGGGCCCGGGGGGCUCCGCAUCCUGCUGAUCAUGCAUCAGGCCCUGCGAACACCCUUGUGCAGGUAUCUGCUAGGAUGUAAGCUUUCAGCUCCUUUGGGUAAAUAGCAAGGAAUGAAACGUGAUUGUGGGGUCGGAUACUAUUACUGCACGGCGAGACUGUUAAACUUUGUGAGAAAGUGUUUAUUUUCUAAAGUGAAAAAUAAAGAAUUUAAGCUAGGAAAAGGGCUUACCUCUUAAGUCCCAGGGAUGAGCUUGUACUGUCUGCUUUCAGCAGCUUGGCUGUCAGAGCCUCACCUGCUUCCCAAAGAAGCUGCCUGAAAUGGCCCGAAAUGGCGUGAACCAGGAAGGCACCUGGUGCUUCUGAAAACAGCCAGCUUCUCUGAGGCUCCUCCGAAUUUUGGGUCUUAGACCCAGUCCCACCAAGCCCUCCUUCCGGGGUACAUUACUCCCCUCCCCAGGAGCCAUCCAGGCACAUUCUGCUCAGGGACCUUUCCUUUUCUGUCCCAGGGUGGCCUUUGGAACUCAGAGGAGGCACUGGCCACAGCCCCAGGCUUGGUCUGGGCUCCUCCCAGGCUGCUCUGAGAUAAGGACUGGGAGCGGCUAGUUUACUGGGGAGGAGAUUCCAGGAAGCAGGCAGUGUGCACUUGGAUGAGGGCGGGUUGGUGGGAACUGUGUGGGCUCCGUUCCAGGGGGGCACCCAGGGCUCUGGGGAGCCGAAUAGACACAUUUCAGACUUGUCCCUUGAAAGCAAGAAGGCUG